AUUGCAGGGGAGCCUGAUGGCUGAGAGGGCUUUUGCCGACCCUUAUAACCUGAUAUAGUUAAUACUAUCGAAGGGAGCAUGA
rnacentral:ncRNA from 1 species